GACGAACGCUGGCGGCGUGCUUAACACAUGCAAGUCGAACGGAAAAGCCCCGCUUUUUUUGGGUGCUCUGGUGGCGAACGGGUCAGUAACACGGGCGGAACCGUCCCUUGACUUUGGGAUAACUUCAGGAAAGUGGGGGCAAUUGCGGAUAGGAGGUCCUGCUGCAUGGUGGGGGGAGGAUAGUUUCGGCGGUUGGGGAUGGACUCGCGGCUUAUCAGCUUGUUGGUGGGGUAGUGGCUUACCAAGGCUUUGACGGGUAGCCGGCCUGAGAGGGUGACCGGCCACAUUGGGACUGAGAUGCGGCCCAGACUCCUACGGGAGGCAGCAGUGGGGAAUAUUGCACAAUGGGCGGAAGCCUGAUGCAGCAACGCCGCGUGCGGGAUGACGGCCUUCGGGUUGUAAACCGCUUUCGCCUGUGACGAAGCGUGAGUGACGGUAAUGGGUAAAGAAGCACCGGCUAACUACGUG
rnacentral:rRNA from 1 species